rnacentral:tRNA from 1 species
GGCAAUGUAGCUCAGUGGUAGAGUGCUUGCCUAGCAUUCAUGAAGUCCUGGGUUCAAUUCCUCAGUACCA